UACAGAGGUCUCAAGCGUUGUUCGGAUUCAUUGGGCGUAAAGGGUGCGUAGGCGGCGCGGUAAGUCGGGUGUGAAAUCUCGGGGCUUAACUCCGAAACUGCAUUCGAUACUGCCGUGCUUGAGGACUGGAGAGGAGACUGGAAUUUACGGUGUAGCGGUGAAAUGCGUAGAGAUCGGGAGGAACACCAGCGGCGAAAGCGGCGACCUGGACAAGUACUGACACUCAACUACGAAAGCGUGGGGAGCAAACAGG
rnacentral:rRNA from 1 species